rnacentral:rRNA from 1 species
UACAGAGGUCUCAAGCGUUGUUCGGAUUCAUUGGGCGUAAAGGGCGCGUAGGCGGUUCGCUAAGUCGGAUGUGAAAACUCUGGGCUCAACCCAGAGCCUGCAUCCGAAACUGGCGGGCUAGAGUUCUGGAGGGGGUAGCGGAAUUCCUGGUGUAGCGGUGAAAUGCGUAGAUAUCAGGAGGAACACCGGUGGCGAAGGCGGCUACCUGGACAGAAACUGACGCUGAGGCGCGAAAGCUAGGGGAGCAAACAGG